UGGCAAUGAUGAUAAAAAUGCCGGUCUUACGGCUGCCAUUUUUUGCUAGUAGUUGAUCAUUGAUUUCAUCAAAGUGUCUUCUUCUAAGCCAG